rfam:Saccharomonospora viridis DSM 43017, complete genome.
CCGGCUCCGGUUCACCCCGCUGGUCGCGGGGACCCGGCGGCC